UACGUAGGGCGCAAGCGUUGUCCGGAAUUAUUGGGCGUAAAGAGCUCGUAGGCGGUUUGUCACGUCUGCUGUGAAAUCCCGAGGCUCAACCUCGGGCCUGCAGUGGGUACGGGCAGACUGGAGUGCGGUAGGGGAGAAUGGAAUUCCUGGUGUAGCGGUGAAAUGCGCAGAUAUCAGGAGGAACACCGGUGGCGAAGGUGGGUCUCUGGGCCGAUACUGACGCUGAGGUGCGAAAGCGUGGGGAGCAAACAGG
rnacentral:rRNA from 1 species